GGCGUGUACUGCUUGGCUGGGCCUUACUUCUUGGUGAGCCGGCGUGCCCUUUAUUGGUGUGCGUCGGGGAACCAGGACUUUUACCUUGAGAAAUUAGAGUGUUCAAAGCAGGCCUAUGCCUGAAUACAUUAGCAUGGAAUAUAGAAUAGGACGUGCGGUCUAUUGUGGUUUCUAGAGUCGCCGUAAUGAUUAAUAGGGACAGUUGGGGGCAUUGGUAUUGAGUCGCUAGAGGUGAAAUUCUUGGAUUGACUCAAGACCGACUAUUGCGAAAGCAUUUGCCAAGGAUGUUUUCAUUAAUCAAGAACGAAGGUUAGGGGAUCGAAAACGAUCAGAUACCGUUGUAGUCUUAACAGUAAACUAUGCCGACUAGGGAUCGGAUGACCUCAAAAUUGAUGUGUCAUUCGGCACCUUACGAGAAAUCAAAGUCUUUGGGUUCUGAGGGGAGUAUGGUCGCAAGGCUGAAACUUAAAGGAAUUGACGGAAGGGCACCACCAGGUGUGGAGCCUGCGGCUUAAUUUGACUCAACACGGGGAAACUCACCAGGUCCAGACAUAACUAGGAUUGACAGAUUGAUAGCUCUUUCAUGAUUUUAUGGGUGGUGGUGCAUGGCCGUUCUUAGUUGGUGGAGUGAUUUGUCUGGUUAAUUCCGAUAACGAACGAGACCUUAACCUGCUAAAUAGCCAGGCCGGCUUCGGCUGGUCUCUGGCUUCUUAGAGGGACUGUCAG
rnacentral:rRNA from 1 species